GGAGAGCUGGGACCCGCGGUCGCCGUCCGCGGUCCUGGGAAAGGCCGCGGAUAGAUCGGACAGUGAGGCUCCCUGUAGAGCUGUGGUUAAAUCAGUCUGCCCUGUGGCCACCCCGUAGGGCGUCCAGCUUUGUCCAGUAGGCUGCAGUGUCUGCUCAAUGCCGGGUGUAAAUAAAAAACUAUCGAAAUCAGCCAGGCUAAUGUUGCUUUCCAAAAUUAAGUGACUUGGGUGAUGUAGAAAUCGCGACUCAGAAUGUCUAGAAAGCAUGUUCGGAAUGCUUUCCAGAUCUCCACCCUUCAGCAAUUCGGUUUAUUCAAGGUUGAAACAGGGUAACAAGAUUUGUAACCUCUUAACCCUUCUACACCUCUACCAUCGACUCCCUGAUCUCGAAUCGUCAUGGAUUCGACCAUGAAGCAUUCACGAUGGAGCAAACUUUACCUUGAAUUCUUCCAAGAUGAAUUUGAGCCUGCGUGCUUGGGGGUAAAAACGUGGCUGACAUGUCUAAACAAAAUAUAUGGUCAUUUUCAUCUCUGACUGGAACUUGAAUUGGCUUCAGCAAGAACCAGCUCACACCUAAGUCAUCAACAAGACUCUUGCAGAUUUCUUCUGGAGAGACAGAAAUAUCUGCAGCCAGGAGGACGGCUGUUGGAGGAAUUCAGGAGCAUUCGACGGAGUCUCCUGUAGUCGGCGAGUGGUCAGUUUUACACAUCCUCCUCAGGACCUCACAGGCAAGAACAGCAGGAUCUGCUUCCUUCAUGAAACCUUGGCUCUGUUCUAUCCAUCGACAGUCCUUCAGGAUACCUAACCUGUCCAGAAACCAAGGCCUUUGCCUUCCCCACAGAGAUAACGCGGACAUGCCGAGGGAUCCCCUUUACAUCCUUGUGCUCAAGUGGAUUCAGUGUCACAGUUCAAGCGCUU
ensembl:antisense Gm9828 predicted gene 9828